rnacentral:sRNA from 1 species
GGGGGAGCCUGGGUCCUGGGGAGCCGCCCCCGCCCCCCCCAGCACCGCAGCGAGACUCGCGCCCCCCGCCGGAUCCCCACCUCCGCGCCCGCCCCGCGGGCUGAGCUGCCCGACCGGGGCCCGCCCCCGGCGCCCACCAUGUACGCCUUUGUGCGGUUCCUGGAGGACAACGUCUGCUACGCGCUGCCCGUGUCGUGCGUGCGCGACUUCAGCCCCCGCUCGCGGCUGGAUUUUGACAACCAGAAGGUGUACGCCGUGUACCGGGGCCCGGAGGAACUGGGCGCCGGGCCCGAGAGCCCCCCGCGCGCCCCCCGCGACUGGGGCGCGCUGUUGCUCCACAAGGCCCAGAUCCUGGCGCUGGCAGGAUUGUCUGGGGAAAUAUUGAGCUGCAGUCCAAGAAAGUCCCAGCUGCCCUUGCCUGAACUGAUUCUCGUUGUCCUACACAGAGACCUGAGGGGCGGAAGCCGAGUGAAGUGGCGCACAAGAGCAUCGAGGCAGUGGUGGCUCGGCUAGAGAAGCAGAAC